rnacentral:lncRNA from 1 species
UCGCUCUCAAGUUUUAAGAUACUCUCUCUCUCUCUAAAAAUUCAAAUUUGAUAUAGUUCUGCUUUCUAAAAUUCUUGAAAUAGUUUCUCUAAAAAAUUCAAGUAGUUUUUCUCCCUAGAAUUUGAUAUAUUUUAUCUCUCUAAAAAUUUAAAAAAUGUUAUUCAUCUAAAAUUUAUAAUUUGAUAUAAUUUCUGUCUCAAAAUUUUUUUAGAAAGGCUUGGUUAGGUACCUCGAUCUCGCCCUCUGGAUCUAGAUGACCUGGCAUCACGUGUCUCGGGUUUCAAGGGAACCCGGGACAUAAGAUCGCUCUAUCGAGAACCUUGUUAGGAAACAAGGGCAGGUAUACCAACCGAUGAGAGAAGAAUUUAAG